GAAGGCCCUCACCAGAUGUGGCCCCUUGAUCUCGAACCUGCCAGCCUCCAGAACUGAAAGAAAUAAAUCUCUGUUCUUUAUAAAUUACCAGUCUCAGAUAUUCUGUGAUAGCAGCACAAAGAGACUAAGACAAUGACCAAGGUCCACCUGCCCCCUAGGGUUUGUGCAGAGGGAGAAGACAGAGAGUAGAAGGGAGGGGUCCCAAAGAACAUGGGUGAUAAAGGGGCCUGGGACACCAAGAUAGUGCUGUUUGCAUAGAGGGAGAAUGACCCACCAAAACCAAAGGGGAAAGAACUUCAAAAUGCAGGGAGCUGUCCUCUGGGUCAGUUCUACCAGAGGUCAUCUAAUAACAACAGAAACAUAAUCUUUAGAUUCGAUAAGGUGAAAGCUAAUGAUUGACUCGGGACACUUUCAGCAGUGGGUGAGGAUGGGAACCCAGGCUCAAAAAUGACCAUGCUGUUCCUCUAUUAUUGACCGUUAAACUGUUUCUAAUAACACUAAUUGUACAAACUACCAUUUUCUUAGAAUUUAUGACUUUUAGCACUGUGCUAGGCACCUUUACAUGCAUUAUCUUAUUUAUUUCACAAUAACACCUCAAGGUAGAGACUGAUUUUAUCUCCAUUUUACAGGAGAAGAAAUUAAAGCUCAGAGAGGCGCUUAACCACCCAGAUGUACUGCUUUCCACUUCCUUGCUAUUGUAACGAACACUGUGGUGAGCAUCUUUGUACACUGUCCUGUAGGGAACGUGAUGCUCUGAGCACCUGUCCCUCCUACUGCCUCUCCCGAGGAAAGCAGGAGCAAAGGGAAUCAGGUACCCAACACCUGGGCCACCGCUGCCAGGCCCAGAGACCAGCGCCCCUUCCACUGACUGACUGCAGGCCAUGCCAGCAAAUAGCACUGUCAUUCUGGGCAGUGACUGGCCCAAACAGAUCAUCUCUCUUAGGAAGUCAGAAUGCAAGAAACAGAUGGGACCGACAUAGCCCAGAGAGAAGGCAGCAGGAAGAAGCCAUGAAGAAGAGAGGAGGGGGUCGGGCGCAGUGGCUCACACCUGUAAUCCUAGCACUUUGGGAGGCUGAGGCGGGCAGAUCACAAGGUCAGGAGAUCGAGAACAGCCUGGCCAACAUAGUGAAACCCCCGUCUCUAAUAAAAAUACAAAUAUUAGCUGGGUGUGGUGGCACAUGCCUGUAAUCUCAGGCAGGGGAAUCGCCUGAAUCAGGGAGCGGAGCUUGCAGUGAGCUGAGAUCGCGCCACUGCACUCCAUCCAGCCUGGCGACAGAGCGAGACUCUGUCUNNNNNNNNNNGAC
rnacentral:lncRNA from 1 species